rnacentral:rRNA from 1 species
GACGAGUCUCACAAACGUUAUUCGGAAUUACUGGGCUUAAAGGGUGCGUAGGCGGUGGAGUAAGUCGGAUGUGAAAUACCUUAGCUUAACUAGGGAACUGCACUCGAUACUACUUUGCUAGAGUAAGACAGAGGUGAGUGGAACUGAGGGUGGAGCGGUGAAAUGCGUUGAUAUCCUCAGGAACACCGGUGGCGAAGGCGGCAUCCUGGACCGGCAUUGACGCUGAGGCGCGAAAGCUAGGGGAGCAAACGGG